ACGCUGGCGGCGUGCCUAAUACAUGCAAGUAGAACGCUGAAGGAGGAGCUUGCUUCUCCGGAUGAGUUGCGAACGGGUGAGUAACGCGUAGGUAACCUGCCUGGUAGCGGGGGAUAACUAUUGGAAACGAUAGCUAAUACCGCAUAAGAGUAGAUGUCGCAUGACAUUUGCUUAAAAGGUGCAAUUGCAUCACUACCAGAUGGACCUGCGUUGUAUUAGCUAGUUGGUGGGGUAACGGCUCACCAAGGCGACGAUACAUAGCCGACCUGAGAGGGUGAUCGGCCACACUGGGACUGAGACACGGCCCAGACUCCUACGGGAGGCAGCAGUAGGGAAUCUUCGGCAAUGGACGGAAGUCUGACCGAGCAACGCCGCGUGAGUGAAGAAGGUUUUCGGAUCGUAAAGCUCUGUUGUAAGAGAAGAACGAGUGUGAGAGUGGAAAGUUCACACUGUGACGGUAUCUUACCAGAAAGGGACGGCUAACUACGUGCCAGCAGCCGCGGUAAUACGUAGGUCCCGAGCGUUGUCCGGAUUUAUUGGGCGUAAAGCGAGCGCAGGCGGUUAGAUAAGUCUGAAGUUAAAGGCUGUGGCUUAACCAUAGUACGCUUUGGAAACUGUUUAACUUGAGUGCAUGAGGGGAGAGUGGAAUUCCAUGUGUAGCGGUGAAAUGCGUAGAUAUAUGGAGGAACACCGGUGGCGAAAGCGGCUCUCUGGCUUGUAACUGACGCUGAGGCUCGAAAGCGUGGGGAGCAAACAGGAUUAGAUACCCCUGGUAGUCCACGCCGUAAACGAUGAGUGCUAGGUGUUAGACCCUUUCCGGGGUUUAGUGCCGCAGCUAACGCAUUAAGCACUCCGCCUGGGGAGUACGACCGCAAGGUUGAAACUCAAAGGAAUUGACG
rnacentral:rRNA from 1 species